GGGAUUGUGGCUCAGCGGUAGAGCGCUUGCCUAGCACAUGCAAGGCCCUGGGUUCGAUCCUCAGCACCA
rnacentral:tRNA from 1 species